rnacentral:rRNA from 1 species
UACGAAGGGGGCUAGCGUUGCUCGGAUUGACUGGGCGUAAAGGGCGCGUAGGCGGUUUGCAUAGUCAGACGUGAAAUUCCUGGGCUUAACCUGGGGGCUGCGUUUGAUACAUGCAGGCUUGAGUUCGGAAGAGGGUCGUGGAAUUCCCAGUGUAGAGGUGAAAUUCGUAGAUAUUCGCAAGAACACCAGUGGCGAAGGCGGCUCACUGGCCCGAUACUGACGCUGAGGCACGAAAGCGUGGGGAGCAAACAGG